UACGUAGGGGGCAAGCGUUGUCCGGAAUCAUUGGGCGUAAAGAGCGCGUAGGCGGUCCGGUAAGUCCGCUCUGAAAGUCCGGGGCUCAACCCCGGGAGGCGGGCGGAUACUGUCGGGCUAGAGUCCGGGAGAGGCGAGUGGAAUUCCUGGUGUAGCGGUGAAAUGCGCAGAUAUCAGGAGGAACACCAAUGGCGAAGGCAGCUCGCUGGGACGGUACUGACGCUGAGGCGCGAAAGCGUGGGGAGCAAACAGG
rnacentral:rRNA from 1 species